rnacentral:lncRNA from 1 species
CAUGCUGCCUUGCUACCCCCCAACCUACAUCCACUGUGGGGGCACAGGGACAUAGCAAAGAGCUCUGUGUGUGGGGACACAGAGUGGGAGGCAGGGGCUGCACCAUGGCUGGUGGACAUGGCUACUGCAAUGGCCCUUCCCAGCUUCUUACACCUGUCCUGCAUGUGUCUGCUUCAUACAGACACAUGUUCUCCUGUGUACAUGUGGGUACCCAGAAGAGGAGGCCACAUGGGAGAGGAAGGCUCCAGGGACUCAGGACCAACUAGUGGAUGGGCUCUAUAUUUAAGGCCAUUUACUGGAUGGAUCCAUUGAAUGUUCAAGCUAUCUGCUGGAGGAACCACCUUCUACACAUGCAUGCAUGUUUCCUCCUAAAGUGUCUGCCUCUGUCUUGCACAACCUGCGAGGAGGAGAACAAUAUGAGACUGUUAGAGAGGUGUGGAUUUGGGUGAGUGCUCAGAAUACUUGUCUGUGAUCUAUGUGUCUGGCCAUGAAUAUAUUUAUAUACAUAAUGUUUAUGUGUACUCUGUGUGCAUGUGCCUACCAGGAAUAUGUGCUCAGCCCCAUCGUUAGUUGGACCUGGGGGUUUGGGGAUGCAGUAGUCUUGGGUCUGCUAGGCUGCUGGAUGUGGUGAUUCCCUAAUGCGUGCAAUGUGAAAAGUACACCACAAGCUGUGUCAUGUGCCAGAGAAACCCCCAUUAGUACCUUCCUAUUAAUCAAUUAAACACAGAACUUUAGGCAAAAUAUUUAUCAUAUGCAGUAACAUACUGAAGUAUAAAAGCAAUGUACAGAGAAACUAAUGUAGUUUUGGUCUUACAGCUGCAGUAGAAUCACUGAGGAAAGGAGAUAUCUAGCAUAACUUCAUUUAAAUGUGUUACAGUUUGCACCCCAUUCUUCUAAUUACUCUGCUGAAGUACCUCAGAUGAUCAUAUCCAGAUGUCCUGGUUUCAGCUGGGAUAGAGUUAAUCUUCCUGGUAGCUAGUAUGGUGUUAUGAUCUGGAUUUAGGAGGAAAAUAAUGCUGAUAACACAUCGAUGUUUUAGUUGUUGCAGAGCAGUGCUUACACAGAGACAUGGACUCUUCUCACCCCACCUUGCCAGCGAGGAGGCUGGGGGUGCACCAGGAGCUGGAGGAGACACAGCCAGGACAGGUGACCCAGUGACCAAAAGGAUGUCCCAUACAGUG